CGAAGGACCCGAGCGUUAUCCGGAUUUAUCGGGUUUAAAGGGUGCGUAGGCGGACUUACAAGUCAGUGGUGAAAUCUCCCCGCUCAACGGGGAAACUGCCAUUGAAACUAUUUGUCUUGAGUACAUUUGAGGCGGGCGGAAUGUGUCAUGUAGAGGUGAAAUUCUUAGAUAUGACACAGAACACCAAUUGCGAAGGCAGCUCGCUAAACUGUAACUGACGCUGAGGCACGAAAGCGUGGGUAGCAAACAGGAUUAGAUACCCUGGUAGUCCACGCCCUAAACUAUGAUAACUCGAUGUGUGCGAUACACUGUACGCGUCUAAGCGAAAGCAUUAAGUUAUCCACCUGGGAAGUACGACCGCAAGGUUG
rnacentral:rRNA from 1 species